AUUGAACGCUGGCGGCAGGCCUAACACAUGCAAGUCGAGCGAACCUAGCUUGCUAGGUGAGCGGCGAACGGGUGAGUAACGCGUAGGAAUCUGCCCGAUAGUGGGGGACAACGUCUCGAAAGGGACGCUAAUACCGCAUACGCCCUACGGGGGAAAGCAGGGGAUCUUCGGACCUUGCGCUAUCGGAUGAGCCUGCGUCGGAUUAGCUAGUUGGCGGGGUAAAGGCCCACCAAGGCGCCGAUCCGUAGCUGGUCUGAGAGGAUGAUCAGCCACACCGGAACUGAGACACGGUCCGGACUCCUACGGGCGGCAGAAGUGGGGAAGAGUGGACAAUGGGGGCAACCCUGAUCCAGCCGUACCGCGUGUGUGAAGAAGGCCUUCGGGUUGAAAAGCACUUUAAGGGGGGAGGAAGGUUCGUUGGCUAAUAUCCAACGGAAUUGACGCUACCCCCAGAAUAAGCACCGGCUAACUCCGUGCCAGCAGCCGCCGUAA
rnacentral:rRNA from 1 species